GACGCGCGCGGCCAAGAGGCAAACAAACAAACACGCACGCACACCACUACUCCAUCAGCAGCAGCCAGCGAGCCCGCGCCGCAGCCACCCGCGCGCGCGCGCGCGGCCGGUGAGGUGUGUGAGAUAGAUCGUCGAGCGCGCGUACGUCGAUCGUCGAGGCUGGCCGCCGCCGCGAGGAUACCGGCGCCGGUGCGCGCGGUGAUGGCGUGGUGGCGGAAGAAGGUCGUCUUCCCGGCGCGCCGCGCGUGGGCCGCCGUCUCCACCCGCGUCCGCGCCCGCAAGCCAGGCAGUGGAGGCAGCAUACUGAAGCUUCACGAGGAUGUGCAAACCUGUGGAUACAAGGACGUGCAGGUGAUGUUCGAGAUUCUGAAAUCCGAGCUGGAGGAAUCACGCGCCCCGACGAAGCAGCGAAAGCCGCCGGCGUGGAGGCCGCCGUCGGCGUGGUCCAGCCGGUCGUCGUCGAUCGCGGCCGCGCAAUAGAGACGUCGACGGCCAUGACACGGACACGCGGAUUGGCAGACACCGGCUAAUAAUAAGAAGUUAAGAACACCAACUUUAGUACUACGUGAUAGCUAUUAGUUUCGUACUUAAAUGUCUAAUCGCAGUUGUCAGGCAUCAUCAUCCAUCCCCCUGCCCGUCUAUCCGGCAAAAGAGCGAAAAUUUUCGGUAGCAUCAGGUCAUAAGCAUCUGAAAGUCUGAAAAAGAAAAACUGUACAUACUACAUGGCGGUUGCGCUGAAUUCUCGCAAACUCUGGAGGAAAAGAUGGAGAUGGAUUCCAACUUUUCCAAGUAGCAGAAAAUUACAAGUUCAAAGUUUCUACCUCCUCUAUCAAUGAAACAAGGCAAAGUUUUUGCCUUUGUUUUGUUUUUUGUUUUUCAAAGUUUCUGCCUUUUUAUGUGUUGUGUGGCCAGUGUGGGCUUAAGUGGAUUCUGGCAGGUGCAACUUGUAGGGUUCCUGUCAUGCCAGAAGUCGACAUUUAGCAGAACUGAGCAACCCCAAAGAAGCAACCCGUUAAUGGUCUAAUCUAAUGGGCUUUGAAUUGCCUUGGCAUGAGGCAAGCCUAGGCUCCUUUUAAUGACACGACUUUGGUCUAAACAUAUAUAAUGGCAUACAGCAUGAUGGUA